CAGGACAUCACCACAGCCCAGCUUACCAAACUGGACAUAGGUGACAAGAAUAUCCUGAUGCCGGUGCACUGUGUUGAUAUUGGCUUGGGUGCUGAGGAGGCCCUCAAGGGGACACCAUUCUCCAACAGUUCGAUGCUGCGUUGUCUGUGGAGUGCAGGCAUGAAGAUUUCAUCUCCUUCAAGCCAAUGCAAAAGAGGCUAGAUGUCUUCCUUCAUGGCUUCAUCGGCAAGGCAUACCCAGAUCUUUGGGCGUUUUGCAAGACCCUUUUACUGCUUUCUCAUGGUCAGGCGUCUGUAGAGAGAGGCUUCUCAGUGAACAAAGAGAUCGAGACGGAGAAUAUGCAAGAAGAAACAUUGGUCGCACACAGGCUUGUUUACGACUACGUUGCAAUACAUGGGGGCGUUACCAAGGUUCCACUUACAUCUGACCUAAUGAAAUCUGUCAUGGCUGCCAGGUCACGGUACCGUGUGCAUUUGGACGAACAGAGGAAGAAGAAGGAGACAGAGACACAAGGGAAGAAAAGGGCACACACGGAGGAGCAGUCACAAGACCUGAAAGUCAAGAGGGACAGUCUACAUAAAGUUACUGAGAGCCUGGGCAAAGAGGCAGAUGAGUUGGCAGAGCAAGCAGAGGGCAAGGCUGGGAGCAAAAUGGCACAUCUGAUUUCAAAAUCAAAUGCUCUGAGGAGGGCUGCCAAAGACAAGCUCUCCCAGCUUAAGGUUCUGGGGGAUGAAAUUGCCACCAAAAGUGCAGAGCUUAAAAGCAUGUAAAUAAUGUAAAUAAUAUGUUUGUUUCAUUGACAAUAAAUGUAAAUUGACGGCAA